rnacentral:rRNA from 1 species
UACGAAGGGGGCUAGCGUUGCUCGGAAUCACUGGGCGUAAAGCGCACGUAGGCGGCUUCUUAAGUCAGGGGUGAAAUCCUGGAGCUCAACUCCAGAACUGCCUUUGAUACUGAGAGGCUUGAGUCCGGGAGAGGUGAGUGGAACUGCGAGUGUAGAGGUGAAAUUCGUAGAUAUUCGCAAGAACACCAGUGGCGAAGGCGGCUCACUGGCCCGGUACUGACGCUGAGGCGCGAAAGCUAGGGGAGCGAACGGG